rnacentral:rRNA from 1 species
CCCGCCUUCCUCCCCCUCCCGCGAUUCCCACCGUCGCCACCCCCACCCACCACCGCCGACCUCGUCUCCGCCACACACCCUCUCCCCUCGCCUUCAUCCCCCAGAUCCACCAGUCUGCUUCUCGGCCAUGGCGUCACGGCCGGUUUUCUCGCCAGCACGCGCGUGCGUGCUUCGAUGCGCGCCGCUCCGUCGAGCUGGCCGGACCGUGGAGCGCGCGUGGACCGUGUAUCCGCUACCAAAUCUCCCCUCCGCUCCCGAAUCAAACCUCCCAAAUCUCUCCCCCGCUCCCGAAUCAAAUCCCCAUCACCUCCGCCACCACCCCACCUACUCCCACCGCCGUCGCGAGCCACGAGCGCGAGCGGGGCGAUGGCCAAUCCUCUGCUUCUCCUCGAAGUCCCCACUCCAUUCGUCGUGCAUACCCUAGGACGACGGCGGCCGACAGAUCUAGGGAGACGACGAACCCUAGCCGCAACGGCUUGUUGGUGUGGCUGCGGCGCAUCUGAUACUCGCCCCGAGCUCCCUCCUCCUCCGUUGCUGUGGCCGCCUUGGGACGAUAUUCGCCGCCUGUGACCGCUGUGUUGGGAACCGGUCCGGCCAAGGGGAAGACGGGUUCCCAGCCAACGCAGCGUCCGGUGAAGCGGCUCUACCUGCGGCCCGAUUGCGCUCACAACGUCCCCGUCACCAAGUUCAAUCAAAAGGGGAAUUCUUGCUCCGCUCGGAAGGAGUUGUCAUUUCCGUGGGAGUCUCUGACCUCUUAUUCUACUACCUAUUGCUGCUGCUGCUGGGUGUCUGUAGCUACAGGGGAAUCCACUGUAGUCCUACUUGCGAACUCAACUAAACUGCAGCACAGUUUGAAUAUAGCACCUAACACUGAUGUAAAAGAUGUCCAUGGAGAAGAUGGCCAUUGGACUGUAGGGGAGCGAGAGGGCUGUCACCAAGAAGGAAGGCAUUGACCUUGCCAAGGAGUAUGGAUGUCUAUCUGGAAUGCAGCGCAAAGACCAAAGUGAAUGUUUAGUAGUGGUUUGAAGAGGUUGUACUGAAGAUUGACAGGAGCAGGAGAGUCUGUGAUUGCUAUAGAAGGACUGAAGUAGCUUCAUGUUGACGAAAAUUUGAGACACAUGGAGUUGGUUCAGCCUUGAGUGACCUGGAGAAGCAGGGCAUUGCCGGGGAGAUCUCUGACUUGUGUCGUGAUGGUGGCGUCUAUUCAUGUUUCGUCGCGAGCUCCAGGAUGAAGUUGGAAGAAGCAAUGCAUGCCCGAUCUUUAUUUCGGGAGUAUGCCAAUGGCUAGCUUUAUAGAAGGGAUGCAUGCUGGAUCUAGGCAUGCAUGCAUGUUCUAGAAUCCGUACUUCAGAACCUAAAUGCUGAUUUUUCUGGGAAAUUUGUUGUACUGGUGAUUUGCUGAGAAUUUGGUGUAUAUUUGCUUGCCACUAUGUUUACUUGAAAUUUAUUUAUGGAUUGGAAAUUAUAUUGGCAUUGAAUCUGGUCUGAAUGUAUAUCUAUGAUGUAAAUAUUAUUUGACAUGAAGAGGCACAACCCAAAUCAAGGAGGG